AUUGAACGCUGGCGGCAGGCCUAACGCAUGCAAGUCGAGCGGAUGAAGGGAGCUUGCUCCUGGAUUCAGCGGCGGACGGGUGAGUAAUGCCUAGGAAUCUGCCUGGUAGUGGGGGAUAACGUCCGGAAACGGGCGCUAAUACCGCAUACGUCCUGAGGGAGAAAGUGGGGGAUCUUCGGACCUCACGCUAUCAGAUGAGCCUAGGUCGGAUUAGCUAGUUGGUGGGGUAAAGGCCUACCAAGGCGACGAUCCGUAACUGGUCUGAGAGGAUGAUCAGUCACACUGGAACUGAGACACGGUCCAGACUCCUACGGGAGGCAGCAGUGGGGAAUAUUGGACAAUGGGCGAAAGCCUGAUCCAGCCAUGCCGCGUGUGUGAAGAAGGACUUCGGAUUGUAAAGCACUUUAAGUUGGGAGGAAGGGCAGUAAGUUAAUACCUUGCUGUUUUGACGUUACCAACAGAAUAAGCACCGGCUAACUUCGUG
rnacentral:rRNA from 1 species